UACGUAGGGGCUAGCGUUAUCCGGAACUUACUGGGCGUAAAGGGUGCGUAGGUGGUUUCUUAAGUCAGAGGUGAAAGGCUACGGCUCAACCGUAGUAAGCCUUUGAAACUGGGAAACUUGAGUGCAGGAGAGGAGAGUGGAAUUCCUAGUGUAGCGGUGAAAUGCGUAGAUAUUAGGAGGAACACCAGUUGCGAAGGCGGCUCUCUGGACUGUAACUGACACUGAGGCACGAAAGCGUGGGUAGCAAACAGGAUUAGAUACCCGUGUAGUCCCUGAG
rnacentral:rRNA from 1 species